rnacentral:rRNA from 1 species
UACGGGGGAGCAAGCGUUGUUCGGAUUUACUGGGCGUAAAGGGCGCGUAGGCGGCGUAACAAGUCACUUGUGAAAUCUCCGGGCUUAACUCGGAGCGGUCAAGUGAUACUGUUGUGCUAGAGUGCGGAAGGGGCUACUGGAAUUCUCGGUGUAGCGGUGAAAUGCGUAGAUAUCGAGAGGAACACCUGCGGCGAAGGCGGGUAGCUGGGCCGACACUGACGCUGAAGCGCGAAAGCUAGGGGAGCGAACGGG